GCCUCCGUGGAUGAGCGGUAAUCACGUCAGCUUUGUACUGCAGAGCUAUCAAGAUAUAUGAGGAGUCGUGGGUUCGAAUCCCACCGGAGGCA